GCUGGGUGCGCAGGCGCAUGCCUGUAAUCCCAGCAGCUCAGGAGGCUGAGGCAGGAGGAUCAUGAGUUCAAAGCCAGCCUCAG
rnacentral:sRNA from 1 species